UACGUAGGGUGCGAGCGUUAAUCGGAAUUACUGGGCGUAAAGUGUGCGCAGGUGGCUUCGCAAGUCGAGUGUGAAAUCCCCGGGCUUAACCUGGGAAUUGCGCUCGAAACUACGGAGCUGGAGUGUGGCAGAGGGAGGUGGAAUUCCACGUGUAGCGGUGAAAUGCGUAGAGAUGUGGAGGAACACCAAUGGCGAAGGCAGCCUCCUGGGCCAACACUGACACUCAUGCACGAAAGCGUGGGGAGCAAACAGG
rnacentral:rRNA from 1 species